GAGGGUAUAGCUCAGUGGUAGAGUGUAUGCUUAGCAUGCACGAGGUCCUGGGUUCAACCUCCAGUACCUCCA
rnacentral:tRNA from 1 species